UCCCCCCUCCACCCAACCAUCUGCUCAUUACGGCCACAGAAAAGCCACCGACGUGGGGAAAUAAUCAGCUGUGCUCAUGAAUCAAUAUGAGGGGCUUUUUUUUGCCUCAGUACAUACGACAUUGUGUAUUUCCUCGCUGACAAUCAAACAUGCGCACAAAGGUAACCCAAGAAAUGUUCCUGCCUCUCUUGUGAAACUGGGAAAUUGCUUCUUUUCCUCGACAUAUUUCAACCUGCUCUAAAUUCUUUUCCUCUCGUUCUGUCGCUCACAAUUUAUUCAGUUUAGAAAGGCGAUACAAAAAAUGAAUGUAGAAACUAUUUAUUGAUUUAAAAAUUGUCCAAAGAAGUCCAGCAUUAUAACGCCCCUCAUAUCUUUUAUUAUUCAUUUUUUCUCUCCUAAUGCUGCACAUCUUAAGGAAAGGAGGCUGAUAUAUUUCUUCCUUUGCUUCUCAGUCUGCUUGCUGCUCCACGUUAGUUUAGUUCUCCAUUUCAAUUUUUCUCACAUAGUUUCCCCCCCCCCACCCCCCAAAACGAGCUCGCUGUUGGUAACCUGUAAACAGAAAUACAGCAAUAGAAUUCCUCAACCUUCAAACCCGGCUGCUGUACUCGCAUCCAGCACUCUGCAGAUAUAUGCACCGUAUCCGUGUGGCACAUUCCUCUCUGCUGCAAACACGAGCCUCCUUCUCCGUCUCCUCCGCGGAGUGCAAAGGCAAAACUAAAUUAAUAUGCACCUAUGCGUAAGCAUGCUUAGGCAAUAAGGCACAUUCUGAUUCCGAUUCCUUGCCUCUAGCUGCAUUCCGUCUGGGAUACUCACCUUUUUUUUCUUUUCUUCUCGUGUUCAUCAAAUAUCUGCAUCCGUUGUUCUGCUGGAAGCGGCCCUCUCCUCCAUCAAUCACGUGUUUCGGUGCAACCUCACGACUUUCUUUAUCUCUUUGUGCCCACGGGCGCCUCUCGUGAAAUACAUCAACCUGCACGUUUAGGAAUAACGACCCCGGGAUUUUUUCAUCUAAAGCCGUUAGACGAACGUCAUUCUCGCCACGACGCCAAAGCAGCGAGCGCGUCGGCAGAGGGGCUGAUGACAGCGAACGGCAACUUACGAGACGUGCUGUUUGGCUGCCAGAGUCCACGUAGAGCCGGAGAUCACCGGGGAAGCUUUAUUCAUCAUUCAUCCCGCUCAUCCACGUUUAAUCUCCUGGCUGCCAUUGUUUGGGAAAUCAGCUGUUCGCAUCAGCUAGCGACAGCCUUCGUUCCCGCUGCUGUCUCCUUCUCCACGAUGCGUUCAUGUAUCACACGCUGUCACGCGCGCCCUUUGACCCCCCCCGUCACCGUCCACUUUCACCACAUCUAGCAUCUCGCUGCUGUUUUGAGGCGCUUCACCCGAUUUAAGAUCUACUCUAGCAAACAGGAGCCAACACACAUCCGGUUGAAGUGCAUUUUGUAUUUCGUUAUUAUGCUGUAAUAUUUUAAAUUCAACAUGUAUGUUUGUCUGGGCUUUUGGGUUGUCGAAAAAUGCAUUGAUUGCUCUCUUUCUUUUUGUCUUUAACCAAAACGUACAACGUUUCGCUGGCAGAAGGUCUCAUUUCGCCUUGCGGUGAAACACGUGCACACAUUGACCUUAAUUGUGGUGCAGCGGGAUUGAAAAAGACUUUUCUGUUUCGUCUCUAAAUGUUCUUUUGCAUUCCUUGCUGAUUGACAUUUUGAAUCCCGUAACACGUGUUUCUUGGUGACAACAAAAAUAAGGGACAAAAGCACGAAAGCUUAUUGGUGGUGCUUGCUGAAAAUCCAUUAUGACCCAUGCUUCUGGGGGGGGUCUGUGUCAAAUUCUCAAGUGGCUCCAGUCUUUCCGAGCACCGCAGGAGCACUUUCUGUCCACGCACUUAAUUAAUUAACACUUUUGUCCCCUUAGUAGUCCAUGCUCAAAUUAUCAAUUUUGAAUGUGUGCUCUCCCAUCAACAACCUUGAUUAUCAAAGCGAUCAUGAAACCAAAAAGAAGAUUCUCUGAUUAAUAAUGAAUGCCGAGGGAGACAGAGGGGGGGGGGACGACUUCUCCCCAACUGUGCCACACACUGCAGAUAACACUCUAAAUGGAGACAUUUGAGCAUUUUGUUCGUGCACGAGGUUUAUUUGAGUGAAAACAUUGGAAUUGUGCGCAGCGUUUUAAUUUUGAUGAAGGACUUUACAGAAUUCUCCUCAUAUUUCCAUCAUUGUGGGUAAAGAAAAUAGAGAAAGGACACCCUGUUCGUAAGACGGCAAACACAUAAAUCCUGCAAUACUUUAAGGUCGUUAGUUAUUUUUUUUAGAAAGGAUCUAAAUUGCCCCUGGAUUGUUGUUUCAGAGGGAUUAAACAUGUAGAAUCUGUUGCAAUAUGUAACAAAGCCUCCCUUUUCUCCUCUGCCGUCGAUUAAGAACUCAUGGCUGAACAGACCUCAGCAGUGUGGUUGACCACGUCCCUGCAGCUCCAAUCGGGGACUCUCCACGGUCCCAAUCCCGAGGCCCCCGUUUAAUUGAUGUUCUGUUUUUGCCUUCAUUAGUCUGUAUUAUUCGUGGCAUUAUUCUAAUGUCCGCAGAUGUCAAGUCACGCGGAGAACGCCUGCAGGCCGGCGCGGCGCUUCCACGACACUGCUCGGUUACAAGAGGCGGUGAACACCAGAUCCAGGGAGAGCAGAGCGGCCGCGGCCCCCUUUUGAGAGAAGAGGAACCAUGUUUAUUCUAGUAAAUGACCGUUUCCAUGACAAUUCUUCAAAAUCCCCCGUCUCUCUGCGAAAGGAACAAACAUCGACUAAUGGACACGCUACUCUCUAAUUUCCGGACCAAUCUUAUAAAAGUAUGGACUCCCCGUUAGGAUCCAUUUGAAGGCGCUGAUGCUGACGUCCACUCUCCCCCGCUGACUCCCGUGCUUCGCUGGGGGACGCUCGGUGCGGGUUUUGGAUGUAAAAUGCGAAGCGAGCAUGCAGAGAGUAAGCCAACCGUGAGUGGCGUAAGCUCUCUUCCUCCAAGAUCUCUGUCUCCCUUUAUCUCCCUCUCCCUCUCCCUCCCUCCCUCCCGCUUUCUCCUUCUGUGUUGUGAUGAGCCACCGCAGCGGGAAAAGGACUUUGAUCCACGGGCUCGACAGCAGUGCUGCCAAAUUCCCUCUCCCCACGCAAGAAAGGCACAGAUCCUGCCUUGCAGCACUGGGGCCCACUUAUUUGUAAUCUCAUAGAUUACUGUCCUCGGGCUUAAGUGUAAUGAGCCGCAAACAUCCAAGAAAAACAUGUUAUUUUUUACUCCAACUUUAAGGUUUAGAAAAAAAAUUCGUUGAGCCGGGAUAUGAAAAGAUCUAAUUUUAUUUUACUCACAGCGGGAGAAACAUUAUCAGGCUGCUGAACAUUAUUGUUGCUCUAUUAUUCUCAAUUCAAUUUUUUGGGGCUAUUCUUUCUUUUAUUCUCUUGAGAUAUAUUUAAAUAAUACAGGUUGCGGAGUCGGUCGGAGAACCCAUUUCGGUUUGAAGACCUUGAAUUAUUCAGGCCGCUGGCAUAUAAUCAAAAUGUCUUUUUCGGACGGAGUUGCUGAAUUUAAUUAGAAAAUAUCGAAAUCAAAAACAAUUACGGCAAAUGUUUGCGACAGGACAACAAAGGACGGACCAAGAUGGAGGCAAGCGAGUUUCUAAAGAAUGAAAGUGAGGCGGAUCCAUCUGCAGGAACAAAAUAUGAAAUAGUCCUUAAUGCCGAGAAGAAAAAGGGAGAAAUGCGCUGCAGUCAACGCACGUCACACGUCAUAAAUCUGGAAUUAAAUUCUACUAUAGAAGCCUAAACAGUUUAUUGAUCUAUAGAAUUUACACAGUAGAAAUAACACCGUUCCCAUUAUUUUCUAAGCAAAAACCGUUUGGCCCUGGUGCUCCGCCGCUGCAGCCUGUGCUCAACCUGAGACGAUUGUGAACGGUUUAAAAAAAAUAGGCCAAUAGCAGAAGGGCUACGCGUGGAGCCACGCCUUUCCUCCGCUGAGCGCCGCUACGGAUUUCAGUCUGGCUGAAACACGCCGCUGACCUCCCUCGGUACUUUCUCCCCGACCCCUAAAUCACAAGGACGCGCGUCUCCUUUACUUAUUCGUAUCACAUGAGGGGGAAAAAAAAAGCUCCAGUAGGAUUUUACACUUUUCAUUUUCCCUCAGUCUCCCCACGUGUGCCGAGUAGCGUCCCUCAGGGAAAAUGUCUCCAUAAUAAAAGAUUUCAAAUGAGAAAAAAAACAUCCACGGUACCUUUUCGUGUGCAUGCUCAUGUUCUUAAAGCAUGAUGGACUUAUUCAAUGAAAGGCUUUAUUCCCUGUGCCCCCCCAUCUGCCCCCCCGUAUGCAAAACAACUGCCGACUGUUCACUGAAGUGCAGCCGCAGUCUGCCUCCAUUACCGUUUAAACGUUUAUAUUUUUAUAAACUAUAAUUCGGAUUUCAGUGUCGCGCUGGAACUAAAAAGGAUUCUCUGUUCUCUUGUUUUCUUUUAGGAACAUUAACCAUGUAUUUUUAGGACUUUUAGGCAGAUGUGAAAGGUUACAGCUGCAUGCGGUCGGACGUUAGCACACGGAAAGUCUUCUUUGAUGGAAGGCGGCAAAUAUUGCAUCUCUUCUCCAUAGCAACGCGCUUUGUUGCACAUAGAGGAGAGCUUAUCGUGUUUUGUGCAGACACCUUGCCCACAAAUUCCAAUUUUCAAUUGGCCAAAGUAAUUCUGUCUGGGCCUUUUUCAUUAACGAAGUAAAUAUUUGCCGUCUUUCGAGCGUUUUCCUGCUGGUAAUCUCUCUAAAACAUAAAUGAGUCAAGUCACUCUGGAAGGCAGCGAGCAGGUCUGGUUGAUUGUGAAACUUUCCUCCGUAGACACACAGGGACUAUCAGCUACAUUUCUUCCUGGGCUCUUGUAGUCUCGAUAGGAGAACGUAUUUGCACAUCUGCAUUGGAAACCGUUGGUUCAUCACGGCCUUCUGUUUCACGCUUUGGGAUCCAGACAAAUGGAGCGUAAGCGGUAGUUCCAGAAGGAAGACUCCCGUCAUGCCACACGUGACGUAGAGAUGCUUCAGCUGGUCUCCCAGAAUUAUCCAAUCAGCGGAGAUUGGCUGCGCCAGGUGCAAGCGACAAACAGAGGCGGCGCCGUGGCUCUUAACCAAUCACACAGUUGCUGUCAAACCUUUUUUAAGGGGUUCUCUCUGUGUCGCUGCCGGGGGUCAUUUCAGUGCGAAGCCGGAUGCGACCCUCCUCCACCCAUCAGGCACCUCCAGCGGUUCAGCGGUUCAGCGGUUGGAGGUUCUGUCAAGCAGAACUCGGCAUCACGGCCCGUUGAUUCUCCCGGUUUAGGAUGGAGUCCAAUCGCCAAAGAUUCUGCACAUUUCAAUAUUAUACAUGUGCAAUGUUUGUCACUUCGGAGUCUGUCCUGGUUGAAAUAUAAAAAUAAACAAAUGUAGUCUUUAAAAUGCAGUAAAAAAAGUCAAUGUGGCACGUGUAGUGCUAACUGUGGCGAGGACGGGACUUGGAUCCGGUAGAUCGGGGAACAGCUUUCAGAUUCUUGAUGUUAGCUGAGUGAUGCAGCGGUGCAUCGUUAGCAUUAACUAGCUUUCAAAAUCAUCACGAUUCUUUUUAAUUAUGUGAACGUUAUUAAAUGAACCGGCCCAAAGAAACGUUUUUCUCCAACUUCAGGCAAAGUUCUGGCUUCCGCCUCGCUGGUUUGUUGCUGUGAAAGAAAGUACCGACAAUUAUGAACGAAAAAGGUUCAAAUGAGACCAAUUUUGAUGUGCAAGAUCUUGUGUGACACCUACAGCUCAGUGAUUACAAUUUAACAUUGUGUUGUGUACAACUCGGCAAAUGCAGGAACUCGUCUCAAGGCGAUCGCAUCGCUGUCCAGAUGCAGCAGAGCGGCGCCAUGUGAGCAGACAGAUCUACCAAUCAGCUGCAGAAAGGAGAUAGUGAUGUGAAGUUACUGUCAUUAGUUCAACCCCCCCCCCCCCCCCGUUUGAAAAUAACAACAGAAACGUUUGUUUGCUGGAGUGGAUCAUCAGAUCGCGUCAGCCCACUGCCCUUUCGGUCCCACCGCAUCUGACACGGCGAAUGUUAAUGGCUGAGAUGCCGCGCCGCUCGCGUCAUCGUGUAUUUCAAGGAAUUAUACAAUUUCCCUGUUGGCGAAAAGGAUGAAAUGUUGAAAGGAUGCUGUGAUGCACAGGAUUAAUGAGCCUCCGUGAACCAACGCGUGCGCUGAGUUAUGAUCAACCAGUGUGACGCGUGCAGAAGUGAGUGGCGUUAUUUUGAGUUAUCACACGUAUGCGUUUCUUGUUUCCCUAACUGCGUUUUGAAAUAUCCUGCAGUCGUUUCUAAGAUAUUCUCAUGUUUCCGCUGGUCCGCGGAGCCUGGGGACGCUUUAAACAGCUUUGUGUGAGAUUAUUAGAAACCAAAUUACCAUUUUAUUAAUGAAAAACUGGGCACGGGCAACAUUCUCUUCCACUUCUCUGCACAAAUAAAAGAAUAAACCAUUUCAACAUUUUUAUAUUGAACUCUGAAGUUUUAAUCACAACUGGCCCCAACGGUGUAAGAAUAUACAAAAGCAUCGAGCAACCCGUGGCUGCUCGUGUCAUCCACACUAAGGAGUAAAUCUUUAUCUUCACAAAUGAAAUCAAGCAAUACAGCCGGGACUCGACUAGUUUAUAAAUUAAGAUUUGUUUAAUAUAUUCAGUGAAGAAUCUAGGAGACAAACUCACAAAUUGUAUGAUUUUCUGUUUGAGUGUUAACUUGUGAUGACAUGGUGGAUUCCCAGCAUUGGUGAGAACACCGAUAGUUCCGUUUAGAAACACUGCUUCCAGGCUCGUCGGUGUUAUUUCCACCAGUUAAACCAGCGCGUGUUGUUGUUGUUGUUGUCAUCACGCGUCCCGGAGACCCCGACGCUCCCGGCAUCGUAAAGCUUUACGUGAGUUCCGAGACGUCCUUUGGGACGCCACCUGCUGCUAAAUUAUCCACAAAGGACACAAAAGGUGGGUAAUUUGCUUGUGUCGUGUGUUGGACCCGGAUGAAGAGUACCUGAUUGUUGAUUUAAAAAUACCGACCUUCUACUCAACUCCAGCGACCUUGAUUUUUUUUUUUUUAUGUGACGUUCGCUCCAAUUUAGCCAGCGGUGCUCUUCGCAGGUACCGGCUUUGUUGUCAAGUCAAUCAGGGAAUGAGGAUUUAAACUCGCUGUUCAAUCAACCCAACUUCCCUUUUUUUUAAUUGUGCUCCCGCAGACACACAAUACAAGCCCACCUCCCAUGAACUCAUCAUUUCUCAAACACACAUCAUCGUCUCUGUGUGUUUGACAUGUUCUAUUCUCUAUCAGACACACUCAUUGUGUCUUAGAUAUAUGUGCCCGUCAUCCUACGUGAGCACACUGAUCGUUGAACCAACUCACGUCGCAUAGUUUAGAACUCGCACGCAUCCGUCUCACGCUAAAUAUAUACAUGUCUCGUGCAAAGCGCUGCCCAAUAACGCCUGGAGAAUAUGAUGGUUAAUGUGGGGCUGUGAUGGCGGCGGUGAUUGAGAAUAAUAGUGAUUCCUGGGAAGAAUAGAGGUCUGUGUGUGAAUAAUUAUCAUUUAUAACCGUGACAGUGGUGUGCGUGUGUGUGUGUGUCUGUGUGAGUCGCUGCUGGAAAGUGUGAAUUACGGCCCAAACUACCUUGCUGGGAAUACACUGAUUUUAAUUAGUGUGCGUUUGCAUUUACAGAAGAAAAGGAGCUUAAGAGACCAAGAAGAAAGAAAGUAGUUAUUUUCAUUUCUGACAUCAAAUAGAACUCAUAGAUAUGAAAUACAGUCAUUAAAAAUACAACUGAUAUUAAAAUACAUUUAAUUAUUCUCUUAUUAAACAAAAAAAUGGAUUGGAGUCUUACUGUACGGUGGCACAUGAGUAAAAAGGUCUGAUACUGAAGCAACGUGAACCAUGAGAAGAACGUCUAUCGAGUACUUUAGCACAAAACUAGACGGACACAGAUAUUAACAACAACAACAACAACACACCAGUCCGCUCUCGUUGCUUUGCCCCAUGUGACUGGUGGCUUUGUGCAGCCCGGCCGAUGCAAAGCUGCAGUAGAGAAAGAUCCCUCGUUUUCUUCCUCAGGAAUGAAAGCGAGCUUCUGACCACCAUCAGAACCCCGAGCCUUCUUCAACCUCACGUCGCCCGUGGAAAACAUCACAUCUCCUCUGGACUCUGCAACUUUUCCAGCACCCCCCCCCCCACCCCGGGAUCAGAGAACAAAGUCAAAACUUGCAGAACAAAGUGCAAAUACUCAAGGCCUUCAAAGUUUCCCGUUGGAGCAGAGAGAUGUGAAAAGGUGCCGAGCUGAUCUGUGGUUUUCAUCAGCGGUGAAGCUAAAUUGCUAAAAACACAGGAGACAUCGUGAAAGGUUCUGCAAUGACGACACAAACCUACGCUGGGAAAUGAGUUUUUAACUAAAUCAGAAUGUGAUAAAUGCCCGCGGGAGUCCUUGGAGUGCAUCAUCAAUCCGCUAAAGAAACGGAACCCUUUUGUUCCACAUGGGAGGCGUCUCAUUAUCGCAGCUCUAAAAGUGCUGAAUCCAGGGCGGCCAUCAUAACCUCCACGAGGCAGCUGCCGUUUGUGCAACAUGUGCAGCAGACGAGUCCCGGGCCGCUCGACGUGGUCAAGGCGCGAGGCAUCAGGGGACGAGUGGGACAGGAUUUAUUAGUGGGAAGCACGGUCGGGGUGACCCUUCCAGCGGAGGCACGAAGCCACAGCGAGGACUUGGCAGCGGCCGCCACACUGAUCGACGCCUCUCCGCGGCCGCCGAGAUAAGUCUCUGUCAACUUUCGGUACCUCGUGCCAACACCGGACCAUUACCGUUGUUGUUUCCCCCCCACCCCCACCGCAUUAAAAUGCAAUCAGUGUGACGCGCGGCGGCGAGAUCGACAGCGAUUUUCUUUCAGGCCAUUUACUUGAUGCUGAGCUUCCAAUUACAUCGAAGGUCGAAGUGAUUCCCAUUUGUCCAGAUGACCAAACCUGCCUUUUGAGGCGACCCAGGCAGAGGAGUUCAAGUCCAUCCACGUUUCCCGUCCUCACCAGUCUUUGCGUGGACGCUUCUCUCGCACAGCGGUAAUGACCAACAACCAAGUAUGCCAAUGAAAAAAUGAGUAAUAGAUUUUAGCACUAUUGAUUGCAUUCUAGUACCAUGAGUGUGUCAGAGGGCUGAAGCAUUUGUAAAAGAAAUAACCCUUCGACUGUACUGCAAUAUUAGUCCUUUCCUUGGCUCGGGGUUAAGAGAGCUGUCGGACGGGGGGCCGGGGGGCCGGUAAGAAAGCUGGAAAUCAGUCUGACACGUCUCAAAGUGGCUAACCUCGUCUUCAGCCCCGGGCGGGCGGCGUGGGGGGGACCCGGGUCCGGAGCAGGGACAGCACUUCAUUUUCUUUGGACCAAACCCACUGGAAGCACCUUCCCGCUCGGCACCAAAGCCUCUCCGACUUCCUUCAAAAAGGUUCAAAAGGUCCUGGCGUACAACGUGAGACGCUCGCGGUUUAUUCAGAUUUUAGAACACGAUUGUGUGUGUGUGUGUGUGUGUGUGUGUGUGUGUGUGUGUGUGUGUGUGUGUGUGAGAGAUGGCGACCGCUGCCUCACAGCCACGUGGGGCUUCGGAUGUCGCUUCGAUUUAAGGCUCAUUCUAAAACUACGAGUUCAUAAAAGGUUGGAGUGUGUUUUUAAAUUGAUUCUUUUCCUUCGUUAUUGUCAGACAGAAAACACAUUCAUGUGAUUGAGUGGAUCGCCGGGAAAAGGCUCCAUCUGAUUCAUGACGGAAACGGGAGAUUUAUUGUCUAUUACAUCGACUCUUGUUCUUACUGUGUGUCUCUCAAAUGUGCCUUUUUUUUAUUUUACCCUGAGAAAAGUCAAAUGUUUUAAUGUAAAUUCAUAUUGUCAAGUUUGAGUAAUAUCUUUGCUUGUUUUCCAUCAAUCAAGCCUCAAGUCAAAUAAGGAGUCAUUUCCCCAUCGUUAGCAAACACCAAUAAUGAACAGAGAAAAUGGUAAACAUAUUUAAAUUGCACUUUAAUUCCUAAACGCAGCCUGAGGUGGAUGCACGGCACCCGGUGAGGAGCUGAGACACACCGUAAGAUGCUUUUGCAUCAGAAUGCGUCAUCUAGAAACACACUUUGUGUGCACAAUAGCUCCAGCAGGGCGAUUGGUGGAUGUCCAGUCUCGUGGGUUUGUAAUUGUUGUUGUCUUCUCAUGAAUGCCAAUCACCUGGGGGGGGGGCAUGCGUUUUCAAAAGGCCCCUGGUUCCAGCAGAGAAUGUGGGACGGAGGCCCUCUAAUUGGCGCGUGUGGACGUCUUUAGCGGGUCUCCUCCUGCGACGAGCUGUGAAAAGGAGCCGCGGAAUCGAUUAGAGCUGUGGAUUAUUCUCCUCGGUGGUUCAGACGCAUCGAUUCGCCCGACCAAACAUGCUGGUUUAAGCCCGGUGAGCCCCGAAGGAACUACACUGAAAUGGAGUCAUUGAAAUGUACGUUUAUUUCUAAUUAUCAGGAUGCAGCAUCCGUGCGUCACACAGAUAUUGGUUUCGUUUUGUUUGAAUGACCUUGUGUGAGAAUCUAUGCACGGAGGUUACAGCAUUUGGCCAUUUCUUCAUCAAAAAACCCCCCAAAAAGUUAUCAAUGUCCACAAGCAGAUUGCUGCCCCAUUAUCUCUGGUUGCUGUUAAGACAUCUAAGUGUAGGUGAACACAUAACAGUAUCCAUCAGAGAUAUAGCCUCAAUUUGUUGAUCAUUAUUUUGUUGUGGUAUAUAGCCAAUAGAUAAUUGUUGCAUGUCCACGGCAGGAUUCUCCUCACUGGUCCACAAACACCAGAUAGGGACCCAAAAAUGAUUAAAAUGAUUAGGAAUGAAAUUAUUUUUUUUGGCCUGAACAAGAGGAAAGCUGAGCGCUUCGCCAGAGCUUUUAACCAAGAAUCUAUUUUUUUUUUUUUUUAUUGUUCCCGCAGGCAGUUCAAGUGUGUCUGAUGUGCUCAGAGACCGGGACGAUUAUUAAAAGCAAUAACGCGAAGCGCCACCACGAGACAAAGCACAAAUCUUUAGAGCAAACGCGCUCACUCACACAUCAGCAAAGACGUUAAUGUGAUCGGGAUCCCGAUUGAUUCAUUCACUGGACAAAUCUGUGAACAGUGUUAACAGAGAGGAGGGUAUAUAAAGUACAUGCACACGCAAUACAAAUACAAUAGCAUUUUGUACUGACAUUGCUUCACACCGUAAAUAAAUUAAGGUCUCUUUUUAUAUUUCAAAUCCUGUUUUAUAAUUCGUUUUUUUUAAAUAAUGAAUCCAGUUCGUUUGUAAAUUGUUUUUGUAUACAUUAUUCAGCUUCUUUAUUCCAUUUUCCAGUUUUUGACUAAACACCGGCGCUAAAUUCAGUGAGAAAAGAGAAAUGAUUGUGAUGUGGCAAAACGCUGCAUGAACCCACCCGGAUUUCAAACAAAUACCUUUUUUUGUUCUUCAGAAACAGGAUGUUGAAAAAGAGUUUUAGCACAAAAAUACAACAAUGAAAAAGAGUUUUAGCACAAAAAUACAACAAUUAGCACGAUAAUACAACAACCAGCAGCACCUACAUGCCAACUAUCGUCGUCCUGUUUGUGCUUUCUGCUUCUGUUUCGCUGAAAUGAUUUUCUUUUGUCGUCAACCAGUUUUACGUCUCGUUCAUCUUCCCAGUUCGUGGCGCUCGGCCCAAAGACCGUUCGUUGCCACUUAAUACGUCAGAGAGGAUGUUACACUUUCAAGGCUCAGUGACUCCUCGAGCCAGCGGGGCACAGAACUCAAUGAAGGGAGUCCUAAUGAAGGAACACGUCAACCCGUAAAACACUGUGGUUAAUUUAUGGGGGGGGGGGGUUCUAUUUUUGGAAAAACAGUGAAGCUGUGUGACAGAAAGGAACCAACGUUGGUUUUCCAGCUCGGAUGUUCUCACGACACGUGAUCCUUCAUUAAAUGACAGGUUUGGGAUUUUCUCUUUUUAUUGGAAUCGCAAAAAUUACAAUAAAAGAAUACCUGAA
ensembl:lncRNA